AGUAAUUAGCUCUAAAUUAAAGUAGAGAUUUUGAGAUUUCAAUAUCAAUGUUCUCGUCAAUUUUUUUCUUCUUCUAUAUAUCAUAUAUUUUUUAAGAAGUUCGGGUCAGAUUUUCAUUUCAUAUGCAAUUUCCUUGGCAGAAAUCAUACUAGUUGCAAAUCCCUUUACCCCUUAAGCUUUUAAGACCACAUAUUUUAAAAGUCUUUUCUUUUCUUUAACUUCGUGGCGAGUCAAACAACUUCAUCUAAAUUGAAUCAUAUGGAGUAUAUAAUAUAUUAGGGGCAACAAAAAAUGUAGCUCACAAAUAUGGGGCCUAAAGCAAUUGCUUUACCUGCUUUACGGUAGGGCCGCCCUGCUUUUUUGUUGGGUUUUCCCUUUCGUUUGUGUUUUCCGAUGAGUUUGGUAUAAGGAAAAUCUCCCCAAAAAUAUAACAACAACAACAACAACAAUAAUCAUAAUAACAACAACAAUCAUGGUUCAAGUUUGUAAGCUUAUGAACCUCGG
rnacentral:lncRNA from 1 species